AUUCAAUCUAGUCAUGUAGUAUUGGUAUUCACCCAAAAAAAAAAAGGUAUAGUAUUGUUAACAAGAAACAAAGUAACGCAAGUUACAACAAUGCUAUAUGGACAAACUCGCAUAACCAUACAGUCAGCUUGUGUAUAUAGGCGCGAAUGCAAGGUAAUCUAUUAAAGUUUGACAGAAAACUACCGAACUACAAAAACGAGUAUCUUAAUCCGCAGUACUAGCAAGGAGAGAAUGGGAGGUGAUGGAACCAUUGAGCAAAAAUAUGAAUGCCGUAUGAUAAGCAUAAAAAACAAAUCACCAACACAUG
rnacentral:lncRNA from 1 species